CCCCACCCCCGCCCCCCCAGGAGGAGAGAGCAGCCGGCCUGUGCCGGCCCUGCUCCCAAUCCCAGCGCCCGCAUACCCUGCACAAGCGGUCAGCGCCGCCGAGGGUCUCCCCGCAUCCAUCCCACCCCACGCCUGCCAGCACGCGGCCUGGGGGCCUACCCUGGGCCCGCAGGGAGAGCACAGCCCUGGCCCAUGGAAGGUUCUGGACUGCAGAGAUCUCCUGCCUACAGCCUCCACCACGGAAUCCAAGGCGCUCCGGACCCUCUUCCCCACGCAGCCCUUCAGGUGCGGGAGUCCCCGAGGCCCCUUCUCUGAGCUAAAACACGCCACUCUUCCCAUUCCUCCUCAUGUGACUGGAUUUUGAGCCCUCCCACCAUCCUGGCCACACAGUCUGGAAUGUGGUUUGCUGAUGACUUUCCGAAAGUGGGGUUCCCAGGGCUCAAUACGCUCCCGGGAGCGGUCAGGUCAGCCGGCCCGGGGAAGGCUCUGCGGACACGUUUUGUUGACCCAACUUGAGGUCCUAUCAGCUGUCGCGGACCCCACGCAGACUCUGCAGUCACAAUGCCCCGAUUCAUGUCCCUUCUCAGCCAGUUCCACCUUGGGUAAAUUAUUUAGCUUCUCUGUACCUCAGUUUACUUAACUGUAAAAUAGGGUCAUAACGGCACCCCCUCUCCCCCACCCCAAGCCAAGACGCGGGAAAAGAGCCGGGCGGCCGUCGGCCGGCAGAGGGCGCUGCACGCCCGCCUUGGACGGGAUGCGCUGCCGGACGCGGCCGCCAGGGGUCGCCCGAGCGCCGCGGCGGACCGAGGAGACCCCUGGCCGGGCCGCGCCUGCACCACCCGACUGGUACCCACGAGGGGGGAGGGGGGAGGCUGCGCCGACCCUGGACUGGCCGCCCCUUGCCUGCGCCUCACCCCGCCCUUCUGGAAGACUCGGAGCAGUUUACUGCAACCUCCGCACACCUGAUGCGGAGCCAAAUCGCAGGCGCUGUGGCCGCCAAGCAGGUGGGCCUCACCCAAUCAGUUGAAGGCCUGAAGAGAACAAAAAGGCCGAGGCUCCCACGAGUAAGAGGGAACUCCUCCUGCCUGACUGAUUUCCAGCUGGGACAUCAGCUUUUUCCUGUCUUCAGACUUGAGCUGAAACAUCGGUUUCUCUUGGGUCUUGAGCCUGCCUGCCUUCAGACUGGAACAUCAUCAGCCCUCCUGGGUCUCCCGCUUGCUGACUGCAGAUCUUGG
rnacentral:lncRNA from 1 species